rnacentral:tRNA from 1 species
AGGACCAUAGCUCAGUUGGUUAGAGCGCCACGUUUGACAUCGUGGAGGUCGGCGGUUCAAAUCCGCCUGGUCCUA